rnacentral:lncRNA from 1 species
GUCUUUCUCUCUGAUCUGCCCACUCCAGUUUCCCCAGCUCUUUCUUCAGGCUGACAUUUUUCUCAAUUUAGAAAUGACACUGUUGAUCUACCAUUUAUCCAGUUAUCCUUCCUGACUCAGAUGUUCUUUCUUUGUUUCCCUGCGUCUUUGUUGACUUCCCUCAUCCCAUUGUAAGGGGAUGUUUUACACAGGUUUCUCCAAAAAUAAAAAGGAAGAUUCUCAUUGUACUGGGGGAGUAUCAGACUUGCCUAGGUUUUGGGAGUUAAACGUAGUGAGGUUCUUCGUGUUGGAAGAUUUUCCUCAGAGAAAUAGGGUUGCCAGUGCUUUCAAGUUGUGUCAUAAGUGAGGGGUUGCCCAUUUAAACAGAGCGUGACAUCUUGUUUCUCUUUGAAAAACUGUAGAGAUUGUGAGCAUCACCAGCCACUAAUU